rnacentral:rRNA from 1 species
UGCAGAGGUCUCAAGCGUUGUUCGGAUUCAUUGGGCGUAAAGGGUGCGUAGGCGGCGCGGUAAGUCGGGUGUGAAAUUCGUGGCUUAACUCCGAAACUGCAUUCGAUACUGCCGUGCUUGAGGACUGGAGAGGAGACUGGAAUUUACGGUGUAGCAGUGAAAUGCGUAGAGAUCAUGAGGAAGACCAGUGGCGAAGGCGGGUCUCUAGUACGGUACUGACGCUGAGACGCGAAAGCGUGGGGAGCGAACAGG